rnacentral:rRNA from 1 species
AGUGAACGCUGGCGGUAGGCCUAACACAUGCAAGUCGAACGGCAGCACAGUAAGAGCUUGCUCUUACGGGUGGCGAGUGGCGGACGGGUGAGGAAUACAUCGGAAUCUACUUUUUCGAGGGGGAUAACGUAGGGAAACUUACGCUAAUACCGCAUACGACCUACGGGUGAAAGCAGGGGAUCUUCGGACCUUGCGCGAUUGAAUGAGCCGAUGGCGGAUUAGCUAGUUGGCGGGGUAAAGGCCCACCAAGGCGACGAUCCGUAGCUGGUCUGAGAGGAUGAUCAGCCACACUGGAACUGAGACACGGUCCAGACUCCUACGGGAGGCAGCAGUGGGGAAUAUUGGACGAUGGGCGCAAGCCUGAUCCAGCCAUACCGCGUGGGUGAAGAAGGCCUUCGGGUUGUAAAGCCCUUUUGUUGGGAAAGAAAAGCAGCAGGUUAAUACCCCGCUGUUCUGACGGUACCCAAAGAAUAAGCACCGGCUAACUUCGUG